UACGUAGGGCGCAAGCGUUAUCCGGAAUUAUUGGGCGUAAAGAGCUCGUAGGCGGUUUUGUCGCGUCUGCCGUGAAAGUCCGGGGCUCAACUCCGGAUCUGCGGUGGGUACGGGCAGACUAGAGUGAUGUAGGGGGAGACUGGAAUUCCUGGUGUAGCGGUGAAAUGCGCAGAUAUCAGGAGGAACACCGAUGGCGAAGGCAGGUCUCUGGGCAUUAACUGACGCUGAGGAGCGAAAAGCAUGGGGAGCGAACAGG
rnacentral:rRNA from 1 species